GAGUUUGAUCCUGGCUCAGGAUGAACGCUGGCGGCGUGCUUAACACAUGCAAGUCGAGCGAAGCACUUUUUUAGAACUCUUCGGAGGGAAGAGAGGGUGACUUAGCGGCGGACGGGUGAGUAACGCGUGGGCAACCUGCCUUACACAGGGGGAUAACAAUUAGAAAUGAUUGCUAAUACCGCAUAAGACCCCAGUACCGCAUGGUACAGGGGUAAAAACUGAGGUGGUGUAAGAUGGGCCCGCGUCUGAUUAGGUAGUUGGUGGGGUAGAAGCCUACCAAGCCGACGAUCAGUAGCCGACCUGAGAGGGCGACCGGCCACAUUGGGACUGAGACACGGCCCAAACUCCUACGGGAGGCAGCAGUGGGGAAUAUUGCACAAUGGGGGAAACCCUGAUGCAGCGACGCCGCGUGAGUGAGGAAGU
rnacentral:rRNA from 1 species